GGACGUCUCCCGCGGGGUCUUGCGCUCUGCCAAAGUAGGUAAAAGGCCAGCAGAGUUGCUUCCGGACCCUUUUUGGGCGGAACCCUGGAAACCUGGCUUGUGUGGAUGUGAUAUGGGGCUCGGGCGGCCGGAGGUCUCGGGCUUCCCCACCUGGAGAACGUAGAUAGCCUUGGACAGGAGGCCCUCGCCCAAUCCCUAGAGCCCUCCCUGUUCCUCUGUCUUACUACCUUCCCGACACCCUCGGCAGCUCGUUUAUUUUGGGGACCUCCAAACAUAACAAACACAGUAAUUCAUCCCCAGUCUACAUUAAGUAUCUUUUUUUUGGAUUUUUGCCAUGAAGCUGAGUUUGAAGGAAUACUUAAUCAUUUUACCUUUGGAUUUAUUUGGCUAUAGAGAAGUCAUGUAAAUUGCUAUUGUCUGUGUGAUUUUCUUGGCAUCUCUAAUUAAAAAUUCUAAGGAAGCAAGAAAAUCUAGAAACUCCGUUCAAAUUAUUUUAACAAUGUAUGUGAAUUUAGAUUUUUUUCAGUAUCUUUUGAAAUUUUGAGUUAAAACUUUUGUCAUGACUCAAAAACUUUUUUUUUUUUAUGGUCUGCAAAAAGCUUGCCAGCCCCCUAUACUGUGCCCAUGAUGCACUGUGCUGUAAAUUGUUGGUAGUGGGAAAACUGGGGGCACAUGCGCUUUGUUCUGAGAGUUCCUCUGCUGACACAGGCUAAUAAGAAACCAGGAAUGCUUCCAACCGGUUAUAUGCAGGGUUCACUUUUAUUUUGAAAAUGUCUCAGGGCCCAAAAGAACGAGGGAAAGACAGUAUCUGAGUCUGUUUUUCUAGACACCCAGGUUCUGCAAGCUGCGUUAUACACCCCCCUGAACUGACCUGCAUAAUUUCUAGAUUAAUCUCUCCAAAUCAGAAGGUAGGCAGAUCAUAUUUUAAGAUGUGUGGCAUUUAGACGUAUUCCAGAAAGUGGAUGCAUGCAUUUCUGCUCUUUCUAACCCAGCACUCCGAGGACCUAGACCUUUCUGUUUUCUUUAGCCCUUAGCCCAGGAUAGGAGACUUCAAAAAUGGCCAGAAGCUCACCCCUCCCUGUACAUUCACCCCUUUGCCUUGUGGCUUUGCCCUUCCUUCCAUCAAGAAGUGUAUCUAUCUUCCACUCCCUUGAAUCUGGGCCUCAACAUGUGACUUGCUUUGUCCAAAAGGACAGAAGAAAGUAGGACGUUCCUGAAAAGCGCUUGUGCGUUAGGGCUUGUCCUCUCCUACCACCCCCUGGCACCCUCCAACUGCUACUGUGCAAAUAAACCCCAACUAAGCUGGUUUGGGGGGCCCAGUUAUGUCUGUCACCCUAUCUGCCACUCUUCUGCAUCCCUCUAGAACAUAAAUCUACCCCAAAAUACAGUUUUUCUCCCCUGCUCAAAGCACUGCAAUGCAGUUAUUCUCACUAACUGUAAGAUAAAAUUAAAUUCCUUAAGUUGGCAUUCAAGACGUUGACUUUGGGGCCCUACCUCACCCUUCCAGACAUCCUCCCCACUUCAUUCUCUGAACAGCUCUUUGCUGCAGCCUGGCUCUCUCCUCUCUCCACCCCCAAUACCAAGACCCAGCCACUUUACUGUUCCCUAUCCUCUUUACUGCUGUUCAGUCAGUGCUACCUCCCUUCAGCGUUCACACAGGACCUUCCUUCUCCACAAAGUCUUUCCGGACAAUUCCAGUCUCUUCAUGCAUUCAUUCAAAACUGUGGGGACACGAUGGAAAGAACCCUGCUUCGGUCCCUGCUCCCACAGAGCUUACAAUCCAGGGGUGCAGCAGAAAACGUACAGAGGCUAUAUUCCUGACCAUUCAUUUGACCCUUAGGACACAUGUCCUUGUAUCUGGGUCUAUCCAUAGUCAACGUAUAAGCUCUUUAAGGUCUAGGGCAUCUUUUCUUGUAAACAUCUGUGUACUGCCUUCAAUACCGAAUAGGAUGCCUUGUACAAAGUCGAUACCUAAAUAAUGUUGAUCGGUCCAUAGGUUGGUGGCCCCGAGAAAUUUCCCAAAGCCUUCUUCACGCUUCGGCACUUCUUCAGAUUUCUAUACCGAUGUAGAUGAUUGUGUGGCGUUGCUCGUGUUUCCAGCAUUACGGUUCAGAUGUCCAUGAUUGAAGGCACUGCUCGUUACUCUGUACUCUAUUUUCACUGCCUCAUCGUGUCUUUGAAACUGCUAAUAUUCCAGAUAAUUCUCCUCGCUUCAUUAGGCCUUGCUUUGAUCCUCCUGGUCAAAAUGAGAUCCAAGUUUUGAGAUAUAAAGGGACAGAGACCCAAUUUGUUUUAACCUCUUUACGCCCUGUACGAAACCAAGCCAAGCAAUAUUCAGAUGUAACUUGUAUUCCUUCCAGCCUCUGUCCGAGGUGGAGGUUUUUUCCCUUAGCCAAAUAAGCAAAAGAUGAACAAGGAAAAGUCUAGAAAUAGCCCAGCUCUCCCUCCGCAGUGGGAUGGGUAAAGAAACUGUGAUGUGUUCAUGCAAUGGAAUAAAGCACUGGGGUGAAAACUCAACGAACUACAGCUGCGAGCAACAUUCUGGAUGAGUCUCUGAGACUGUGUUGAGCAAAAGAAAGAACAAUGCACACAGCAUGAUUCCAUUUAUAUGAAGUUCCUAACCAUGCAAGACAAAAUAAGAGACUAUUUAGGGAUACAAACAUGCAUAGAACUAUAGAGGAGAGGGGGGAAGGAUAAACUUCCAGGGAGGAGGGUCGGAGAAGAGAACGGCAGGAGGCGCGCAGGGGCUGCAGAGAGAUGACUGUGCUCAUUGCUAAGACUUGUUGGAUCUGGACGCAGGUUGCCACUUGCACGAUGGAUCCCCCAGGGAUCUCCCUUCACGUCACUGCAGCGGGUGCCUCCAGUUGGCAGAGCCUGGGUCAUGUGCCCACGCCUGUCUGCAAAGGAAGUGAGUGUGUGAUUUUUCCAGCUUCUUCUGUGGGGCGGAGUCUCUGCUUCAUAGGAUAGGGGGUUCUUGUAACACAGAAAGGGGCUUCCGAUAUGGUUUGGCCGAGAGGAAUUCUUUGGUGCAAAUACGAAGUUCUCUGAUGAUCCAGCAUAAUCAAAGUAUAAAAUUUAGACUCCCUAAAAGAAACACAUGGACUUUAGGUUUCGCUAGAUGAUAACCAGCUAGUGGUGUGCUGGAGACCAGCUCUUAAAAGCUGGUUGUUGGUUUUUAGAAAUUUUGUGAGUCAUUUGUUAAACACAGCCAUUAUUUCAAGUUAAAUUAUAGACACGUACACUCAGUUAAAUUUUUCUGAGAGAGAGAGAGAGAGAGAGAGAGAGAGAAUGAAUCCCAAGAGGGCUUCACACUCGUCAGCACAGAGCCCAACGUGGGGCUCAUUCCCAGGACCCUGAGAUCAUGACCUGAGCUGAAACCAAGAAUCGGCCACUCAACUGACUGAGCCACCCAGGCACCCCAAUUAAACUAUAUUUUUGAGAGGUAGCAAAAACUCCUAGUCCGCCAUGUCCUAAUUCUUUUAUCAUAUUUUACUCUCAGCUGGGCUCCGAAGGUUACUUAAAUCCACAGUGCGUGCUGCUUCUCCUUCAGCGGCCUCACACUGGCAGCCCGAAUCCGCCGCGGUGGGAGCAUUUACAACAUGGAAAUCGGCAAAUGAUGCAGAUCAGAGGCCUCUUUCCUCCCCCUUGUAGAGCACCAUUAGUUCUAGCAUCCCACGGGAGCUGGCAAAGUCUCGGGAAGCACUUGAAGGUUUUCCGUACUGUGAACUAAUGCCAAACAACCAGCCGAUCGAAGGUGGUGUCGUUUGAGGGAAAUUGAGGAGAACAACACACUCACCUGAUGGCUGAUCGUCCCGGGUGUCUGGAGAGGUGGAGGGCUCCUCCAGGGAAAAUAGAAUUUUCUCUCAGGAAAGCAGUUCUAAACCCAUGAGAGUAUAGCUAGGUUUAGAAACAUCCAUUACGUCACACUGAUCAGAACUCACCCGUGGCUUGCUGGGGCGCCUGGGUGGCUCAGUCGGUUAAGCAUCUGACUUGGGCUCAGGUCAUGAUCUCGCGGUUUGUGAGUUCAAGCCCCGCGUCGGGCUCUGUGCUGAGCCUGGAUCCUGCUUGGGAUUCCGUGUCUCCCUCUCUCUCUGCCCUUCCCCCACUCGUGCUCUCUCAAAAAUAAAUAAAUGUUAAAAAAUACGUAUAUACACGUAUAUAUACAUAAAGAGCUCACCAGUAGUUUGUGUAUUUGCUGCUUUUCUUUUUUAUUUAUUUUUUAAUGUUUUUAGUGAGAGAGCGUGAGUCGGGGAGGGUCCAAGAGAGAGACACGGAAUCCCAAGCAGGCCCCAGGCUCCGAGCUGUCAGCACAGAGCCCGACACGGGGCUCGAACUCAUGAACCCGGAGAUCAUGACCUGAGCCGAAGUCGGACGCUUAACCGACUGAGCCUCCCAGGCGCCCCUGCUGAUUUUCUAAAGGGGCAAACGAAAUUCACUGUUCCCUCUCACGGGAAGGACAGCAAGCGCGGGGCCAGGUGCAGGGAGGGAACAGACGUAGCGGGAGUUGAUUGGCCUGGAGCUGCCGUGACAGAGCCCUCAGACCGGGCAGACGCGUGCAGUCCUGAUCUCUCACAGCUCUGCAGGCUGCAAGUCUGACCUGAAGGUGCCGGCAGGGCUGCUUGUCCCUGAGGCCUCUCUCCUUGGCGUGUGGACGCCUGUCUUCCCCGUGUUCUCAUGUGGCCGUCCCUCUGUGUGUCUGUGUCCUGAUCUCCUUAUCAGGACACCGGCCACACUGAACUGGGGCCCUCCCUCAUGACCUCAUUCUAACCUAAUCACCUCUUUGAGGACCCCAUCCCAAAUACAGUCACAAUCUGAGGACCUGGGGUCAGGAGGUCAACAUGAAUUUGGGGGGACACAGUUCAGCCCCUAACAGGGGGCGUGGUUAAGUUCUCUCCCGAUGGCCCACCUUUCUCAGGGGAAUGAAAAGCAAGCUCAUCCUCGAGGGAAGAAUGCAGUGUUUGAGAUCCUGGGAGGGAAAAGCUGUGACGUAGUCAAUACUGGGGCGGGCAGGGGCAGGCACAGUCACCAGGGGACAGGCAGAGGCGGACAUGGUCACUAGUGGGUGGGAAUUAGUGGACACAGUCAAGGGGGGGUGGCAAACAGGGGGAUCAGAAUCACUAGGGGGCAAGUCAGGGAUGAACACACCCUAGGGUGCUGACAGGAAUGAACAUAAUCACCAGCAAGUGGGGAGUAGCGGACAGAGUCACCAGGGGGUGGGCAGGGGUGGGGACAGAGUCUCCAGGGGGCAGGCUGGAGUGGACACAGCCACCAGAGGGUGGGCAGGGGCGGGGACAGUCCCCAGGAGGCAGGCAGAGGUGGACAGUCACCAGGGGAGAGCAGGACGGAUGAGGAAGGGCACAGCACUUCUAGGCAGCUCAAAGCUCCACUUUAGGCACCAGACGUAGCUGCCCUCUAGGCACCGGACCCCGCAUCUAACCGCUCCCUCUGCUCAGUGCUCCCCUGGGCCUUGCUCUCCAGUUCCCGUGUUCAACUCUGGCCAGCCUGUGUUAACAUUAGUGGGUGGACGGCUCCUUGCGAGGUAGGCAGGAUAGCGCUUAGGAACAGCCUCAGAAAUUGGGAGAACCAGGUUGGAAAGCCAGCUUCACCACUUCCUGGUUGUAUGGCUUUGGGCAAGUUAACAACGUGCUUUGUGCCUCCGUUUUCUCACCUGCAAAAGCUGGGAAUCAUGAAGACGCUCAGCUGGUGUGGUUGCUGCGACUGGAUGACAUAUCCGUGGAGUGCAGAGGCACCCUAACGUGGGCUGUCGUCACCAUCAUCACCUGAAGAACCGGGCUCUGAGCAUGGAUUGCGCGGACAUUUACAUAUUGGGUUACAUACCUACGAAACAUUCACAAGUUUCAAAGAAAUUUGUAGCUCCUGCACAGGGGCUCAAACACAAAAACGUGCUUAAAAUGAAAGAGAAGAACUUGAAUUUGCCAAGAAAUUGCGUAGCUGUGGUAUCCGUAGAGUUGAAACUUAGAGGAGACCCGACCAGAGGAAACGAAGGCAUGUGGGACUUGGGAUUCGCUGCGGGGGGGACUGCAGAGAAUCCCUGGAAAUCUAAGUCCACAGAUAAAAAUCGCAUCCCCCCCCCCCCGACUUGCCCUUCAACCCUUGGUGUCAGCUGCUGAUCUUAACAAGACUGUGUCUUAGGUGAGGCACGUGGUUUUCACCUGCUCUGCUAACCCUCGCUGAAGAGUGAAUAGAGGAGCAGGGCUGCUAGUGGAAGAAAGGAGAGGGACGUGAGGGUUGGUGUGCAGUGAGAAUCAGCCUUAUUCACCCGUCCUGCAGUGUUUCAGAUGCCACGGGAAAGCGGGACCCCACGAGAUUCCAGAUAAGAGACCCGUACAGACCCCUUUAAAGGUCUGCCCUGUGCCAUAUACACACGAAAAUGCCUGAUGUCUGAUUCAAAGGCAACCUUUGAGGAGGCGAGCCAUCUCACCAGGGUGUACGUCGGACGGCAGAGAGCAAAGCAGCAGUAGGGGGAAGGGCCUGGGCCAACAGGGCGCGGGGGCGAAAGAUUGAGGAGGACACAGGGCAUGCGGAGGCCGGACAGGGAGGACUCAGGAGGACGGGCUGCGUGCCCGGACACACCACAGACGGUUUUGUUACGGACGCCUGACGGCGGGAACGGCUCCCUGCCUCGAUGAAACCUCAGCAGGCCAAGUUGGAUGAGCAAGCCCUCCCUGGCUCUGUGGGGGAGGCCCAAAGCCAAGGUGAGGACACUCGUCUGAAAAAUAUCCUGCUUGGAGAGCCAGCUCGUAAACGGCCCGAGAAGAGGCAGUUAAGUGCUCGGGGAAUGGGAUGCUGACCUUACACUUUUUAUGAUAGCUUUUUAAUUAUGCUGUGGAAGGAAAAAGAAGGAAACAACGAGAAAAGUAUAUUUAAGAAGUUAGCCUUUCUCCCCCUCCCUCAGAUGCGUCCUCUGGAUGUGGCCGGGGCGGGGUGGGGGGGUGGCGGUAAGUGUUUCCACAUUCCUGCUACACACACAGAAGUGUUUCUUUACGACACAGUUGAGAUCUAUUCUGCCACUUGAUACUUUCAUUUGACCACAUAUGGUGGCUAUGUCACCACAUCACUACGUCUUCAUUAGCAGUUCACGGACUAGUAGUUUUUGUUUGUUGAUCUAAUCUUAUAGGGACACACAUUCGGGUUGUUUGGUUUUUUUGUUUUCCAGUCUUGCUUAAACGAUGCUGUAUCAUCUAUCUUUGUGCAUAUAUUUCUGCACACUUGUGCAAGUCUCGGAGGCGAGCGGGCCCCUGGUGGACACUUCCUCUGGUUUGCAACAGAUGAAGCCAAAGCGGCCAGAUGCUUUGGGGAAAGACAGUACUGGGCCCGGGUCCCAUCGCCGCGAGGGGCUCCCGGGGGGCCUGGGAGGGACACAGCCGGAGCUGGCUGGGAAAGGAAUCGGUUACAUGUUGAGUCUUCACUCGCCACCGGGCCCGAGGAGGGAGACUGCCUGUCAGGACCGUGGGGAAUUCACCCCAGGGAACGCAGGCCUCGUCCAGGCCUCCUCAGGGGCUGCGAGCCCUGGGACAGGCCCACGGAGGGUAAAUUAAGUCAGCAAUGCCCGGGAGGGAGGGAUCUCUCGAGCCUGGCGGCUUUAGAAAAAACACUGGCUUAGCCCCUGAGAGCCCAGGCCACGUGCUUGAGGACUGGGCCCUGGAGGGACGGGUGGGGGCAGGAGGGCAGGAUCCAGGUCACUGUGUAGUCACUGUUCAGGAACCAGUUCCCAACCGUUGGCUGCGACGCCCCGGGCACGAAGCAGGCCCCUGUGCCGCGCGUCACUUAAGGAGCUGGGAGGGCUGGUCUCGGUGGCCUGUAGCACCGUUGGAAAUACCUCAGUUACCUUCAUGCGCUCCCGAGCCGUGGCGAGCCUACACCUCCCGCCGCUGAGGUCCCUCUCGCAGGGUGUGUUUAACCCCGUUUUCAAGUGAGCGUCCUAAAAUCGCUCUACCCAGGAAGUCAGCUCGAUAGUGUCCCCGACAUGAACUUUCCCGGCAAGACAGAGGGUGCCGCCGGGCCCUGACGUGCUCCCCCACGGUGCUCGCUCGGGACUCAGCAGCGGGUCAGCAGGGCGCGCGGAUCCCCGCCAGGGGCUGCGCUGAGGCCCCGCUCGGCUGUCGUCGGGGACACGUUGGGUUUUGCGAGAAACCGCAGUCUGAGAACACAGACGCUUCUCCACCCGUGCGGGUCCUGCCAAGCCGUGUGUUUGCUGGGAAGGUUCCUCUGACUGCGAAGCGUCAGGACAGGCACACAGGCAGAACGUUAGCCCGAGACCCCUGCGUUGCUGUGGUUGAAUGUGACAUCGGCACAGUCGAAGUUCUUGCUGUCAUCGUUGGUGGGGGUGGUCGUCUCCCUUAGGACCAAGUCCCCCAGGGCAGGGCCAGGCCCUGUAGCGUCCCUAUCCGGCACGGCUGCGGCCUCACCACGCUUGUGGUAGACGGUGACUUGGAGGUCACGGACGGUAACAGAUCCCCCGAGAUGCCGGGUUCGCUCACCGCAUCCAGAAAUCGUCCAAUGAGGCAAAUGCCCUCCAAGCCGCACGCUUAGAAAUUCAGCACGAGAACCACACACACAAGCCCUUGUCUGGAAGAUGCUGCUGUGGAAAGCACUUUACUGCCUGCGUGAUGGGAGGCGUGUGUGCCGGGCUUGGGGCGCCGGCAGCGUUAACAGGAAGGUGGAUCCUCCCAAGAGGAGGGCUGCAGCCUGCCCCACCUGCCUGUCCUGGGAGCGGGGAGUCCUGGAGGGCCUCCUGGCGGCACCGUUAACCCGGGCAGAACUAGGGGGGGCGGUAAUGCUGCGGGCGCUGCUUCCGGGGCCUCAGGGCCGAGAGUGUCUCUCUCUUCUGUCCCGGGCGUUCCCAGGCUGUGAGCACGGGAGCCUGUCACAUGUCAGAGUACUGGCACACUGGGGACCAGAGGUGACACUACUUACCCUUCUUACCUUACACGUCAGUUUUGCUUAAUAUUGGGCUUAGCCCAGAUCUUGGGGCGAUGUCUUCUAAUGGAAUCAGCAGCCGAUGUUACAGAGAAGGAAACUGAGGCUGAGAGAGAGUAGGGCUCCCUCUGCUCGGUCUCGCCCCAGCCACGAGCCAGGCGCCCCACCCCUCUGUCCUGAGGCCCCGCGAUUCGCCCAACGUGAGCCAGCGAGUGGACUGCAGGCGUCAUGGGGGAGUAGGUCUUGAAAUGGGGGCUUCAGACCUCCAAAAGUGGGCCUGAACAGCCUGUCGCUUGUGUGUGGUGUUUUGUAGCCCCCAGAGCACGUGCGAUCCAGGAUUUAAGUUCACAGUAACCCACCAGGGUCCCUUCUCAACGGAUGAGGACACUGAAGUGUGAGGGGGCAAACCGCACACCCAGGCUGGCGCGGUGAGCGCGCAAUAGAGGCAACUCUGAAUUCCAGCCGUCCGUCCCGAGCCCAGAGCGCUCCGUGACCUGUCCCACGGCCAGCCCGGGAGAAAGGGAGACGGCGAGAGACGGGGUGGGGUGUAGACAACAGAUACGGACACGGUUAUAGUAGAGACAGAUGUAGCCGUGCUGUGCCCAUGGAUACAGAUACCAUAAACAACGUUGCAGUCAUUGACAUGCUAUGGACAUCGGUCCAGCGAUGGUUGUGGGUGUACAGGUAAAUACACAUUUGUAGAUAGACACUGGCAGAGGAGGAGACAAAUGCAAAGUGCCCCGCUGAGCUGGCCAAGUUAAAUUCUCACAUGCGGGGCCCGUGGGGGGCUCAGUCUGCGAAGCCUCUGACUCUUGGUUUGGGCUCAGGUCAUAGUCUUGCAGUUCGCGGGAUCCAGCCCCACGUCCAUUCUCUCUCCCUCUCUCUCUACCCCUUCCCCAUUCACGCAUGCACGUGCACAUGCGCUCUCUCUCUCUCUCAAAGUAAAUAAGCAUUUUAAAAGUCAAUGAAAGAAAAUGCUCUAUAUGCAACUAGAAAGUCUGGGCCCAGAUCCCGCCGCCCCUGGCUUCCUCCAGUCCACACAGGGACCUCCUUGUGGGAGGGAGACCAGGGAAGCCCUCUCUGCCGUGCCGGGGAGCGCAGGACCGCUGGCUCCGUGUACUGACAGGCGGAUAAAAGUCCCCUUUCUCUUGCUUCUCAGAAUCAGUGUUGUAUGUAGUUAGAAACUUCUGGAGCUUCCUGAGACGGUCUGGGAGACAGCUUAUAAAUAGCUCCACUUUUUCCUUAUACAUACGCAAGCAUAGAAGGGGGACUCAAAAAAAUGAACAGUAAAAAAUAUUUGUUAUAUGUUUUACUAUUGUAAAAUUGAAUUAUAAUUUAAGAGCUUCGAUACAUUUCUAACUGUGGUAGAUUUUAAGGUAAUUACGUGUCUCUUCAGUAAUAUAUUUGCUAUCAACUUAUUGCAUAAAAGGAUUGCUUGUGAAUUCAAAAUUAUUUUUAGAUUUAUGGCCCUUUCAAGCGAAAAAAGGGUUUUUCAGAAAUACUUCCGAUUGCCAAUGUCAGGUGGAUCGUCCAUUUGCCAUCAAUAACGCCUCCUCCAGAAUCCUCCGUCAUAUAAAUCCAGCCUGACAGGCCCAUAAUGCAUGCUGCGAGGGUGUUCUCAGGGGUAAGGAAUGAUAUCUGUGUGAGUUAUAUUAGGCCGGCCUGUGGAAAACAGUCAUCCCGCAAUUUAUGAAUUCAGAUGCUCCCAGAACACGCUUUGGUAUUCCAAGGAGACGUAGGUGUUUUCAUUUGCGUUGGCUGCCUUGAUAAAUGUUUAUUGUGAAAAACUGCUGAUCUGGAAAAACACUUGUGUGCACCGUGGUCCGGCCUGCCUCUAAUGUUUAUUGCCCACAUUAUCAAAAUUGUACGGCUCUAUUACGCGCCCUGAGGCUGUUUUGUUGUGAUUUUUCCAACAUAAAGGCUUUGUGGGUGGCUCCAGGUGAAGCCUCGGUGUCCAAGACGAGCUUGGAGAAGGCAGGUGGCAGAGGCCUCGCUGGGGACACUCUCGCGUCUAACGUCGUAUUACUUUAUGUGGCCUCACGGGCCGGGCAGUGUCGUGUUGUGAUGUGUUCUGUUGUGCUGUGUUGAGCUGCGUAUGUUGCCUGUAGCAUGUUGGUUUACGUUGUUGGAGACCACAGAGCCAUGGUCGCAGUGCGGAAGAUAACAAUUUCAUGUGGGUUGAGGACGGAGUAAGCGUUUGGGCUAAAUGUUACAGUGUCUACACGGUCUAUGUUCGCUGGGGGGUUGCCCCUCUCUUCGCCUUCUCUCCCGUCACUUGGUUCAUUAAAAUAUGGGGUUUGAUUUGUUCACUUGGUUGUUUUAAAAGUUAAAGUCUCGGGCCUCAAAUCUUACCCAGCCUGCUGCCUUUGGGUAAGUGCGCGUGCAUGCGUGCGCAUGUGUGUGCGCGCGUGUGGGUCUUGAAGAUCCCAGGGGAGACUGGGAUGCUGCGAUUUAUCUUCGGACCCAGUUCUAAUGCCCGAGCUCCUGAGUCAGCAGCCCUUAUUAAUACAGCCGAGGAGGCUAAUUCCCCUCGGCUGCACUCAGUUCCUCUUCCAGUGAUCUCUGUCUCGCUUAGCUCCUGGCCUGCGCCUGGGAGUGGGAUUUAAUCUGUUAUCUGAAUACCAUUCAUAAGAAAAAGCACGCAAGUAAACAUGUAGCAUUAAAUAAGGAACUAUUCGUGAAAGUCACACAAUCCCUUUCUGUAGUCAGGUCACUGAAAAGGAACCGUACGCUAUCCUUUUCCUGAAAGAUUGGUUUCAGAAGCAUUAGAAAUCCAAGGGGAAUAAAUCAGAUUAAUUUUCAAAAUUAGCAGGGAUAAGCUUUAUUCUGAAAUCAUGAAUGUUCUCUUUUAAUUAAUUUCAAACGUGGCUAAUCCGUUUUAGGCGUGUUACAAUAUUAAAUAGUAGACUGGCGUGUGGCAGGCGGAGGCGGUGAAUACCCUUGAUCUCUGUAAAUACUUAGACCGGUUGGCUUAUAACGCAUAAUGUCAAACGCUGUAAAAAUCCCGAUCUUCUACUUCCGUCUCAUUGGCAAGAAUAAAUAGGCUUGUGCUAGGCACACAGGCUAAAACAGGAAUUCGGUAUUGUUCAAGGACACCCCGGAGGAGGUGCAGGGCCCCUGCCGGCUGGCAAUGGUUUCUUCAGCGUGGUUUUCCUCUUCCCAAAAGCAGAUCGAGAAAAUCAUUAGAUUAGCAGCUCUCACAACUGUCCUACUGCUCGGCCAGGUCAUCAGCCACGGGGGAGGGACAGGAAUCGGUUCGUUGGAGUGCCAUGGGGACGUGGCAGGGAGCUUCUUCCUGCUUCCCCGAAGCCCAGGGAAUCCAGCGAGAUGACGGCAGCCGUCAGCGUGAAUACGGCCAGCAGCCCAGACUCGCCCUGGUUCUGCACCUCCAAGCUGAGGCAGGGGUGAAUCUCGCAGACACGCCCACACCCGGCUCUACUCUACUCGGUUGCAUUUUACGGAGUCAAAACAGGACGUUCUUCCUGUGUUAACGAUCGCAAGGGAGAGGAGACUCAAGCUCACGCUGGCCACCCGGGCCUGGGAUGUUGAUAGUGGCCUCCACGCGCUAUGCGGGCGAGACCUGGCUUGGGCAAGGAAGUGUCCUGCGGGCCUCUUGGCUUCCAUUCCCUAAAGCACCAGUGUUGAAGUCCUCUGGGCUCAGCACUAUUCGAGGAACUGAGAUUACUUACACAGAAUUUGUCAAUGAACCCUCACAUAAACACGGAGAGUUACUUACAGGCCUCAGCUGUCCUAUGCGUGCACUUUAGGAGAGACACAAACGUAAUUAAUGAUUUUAAUCAAUUAAUGAAAAUAUUAGGUAAUGACUGAUGAGUGCUAGAUAGAAAAUUAAAAUAGGUUGAGCAGAUGAGGUUAGAGAGACCCAAGGUGGAGACUCUGGAAGGUGGAAAGGGGAGGGAGGACCCAAGGACCCAGAGCAACGGGACAUCUUCCCAACUCCAGCCCCCGCCAGGCGUCCCCCGACCCACCACCUUGAACAGAAGGUGGCCCAGGUAGGCUCACCCCUCCCCCACAUCAAACAGGAGUCCUGCCCACCACCGAAAGCAGGUGACCCAGCAGCACCAGCAGAGUGCUGACCCACUGACAAGAAGAGGCCAGGGGACAUACGCCCUCCCCCAGCUAGAGAGAUAGGGUGGCCCAGGGCUCGAGCAAGGAGGAAUCCACCAUCUGGCCCCAGAAUCAUUCUAGGCCUCUAAAGGCACCAGGCGGCUUGGCCUGGGGAAGGUCCCUCCACCCCCUCAGGAAGCACCAGCAGGAACCUGUGGGAGCCCCAUCAGGACCAGACAGGAAGUAGAGCAAAAUAGCUCCUCAAAAUCUCUGAAAAUUAUUAUUUUUAAUGUAUUUUUUUUAUUUUCUAAUGUAUUUUUUUUUUUUUUAAAGAGAGAGCACAAGCAAAGGAGGGGCAGAGAAAGAGGGAGAGAGAGAGUCUCAAACAGCCUCUGCACUGACAGCACAGAGCCCGAUGUGGGCCUCAAACUCACAAACUGUGAGAUCAGGACCUGAGCUGAGAUCAAGAGUCAGAUGCUUAACUGACUGAGCCACCCACGCUCCCGUGUAUCCUAGGUUUUGACGAGAACAUGACCCCAGAUGAUGCAGAAGAGAUUCAUUCUAAAAGUCAAGAAAACAGUUGGGUCAAAUCAUGCUAAACAGGGAUAAUAUUACCCUGCUCCAAAGUCUCUCCAACUAGAAAUGAUCAGUGAAGUGAGAAAUUCUUGAGAAGGCCAAGUAGUUUGUUUUUUUAGAUGCCCUUCUUUGGGAGGAUAGUUCUAAAACAUUUGUUGAGAUUGUUUUGAUUACUUUUAUGUUAUUACCUGAUGACAAUAAAUGCUGUGGGGUGGUUUUUACCUAAAAAGGAUUCGUAGUAAGUAAAGGAUGACAAUAGAACUGAAAAAAUACAGUAACCAAAAUAGAAAACUCACGGGACAGGUUCCUAGCGCAGUAGAAAUGACAAAAGAUAGAAUCAGCAAACUCGAGGACAGAUCAGUAGAAUUUACACCAUCUCAACAACAAAGAGAAAAUAGAAACCCACACAGUUUCAGGGAUUGUGGGACCAUAACAAGACGUCCAACAUUCAUGUCAUCGGAGUCCCAGAAGGAAAGGGAAAAAGGGGGUAGCUGAAAGCAGAUUCAAAGCAACACUGGCUAGAAACUUGCAAAAUUUGGGAAAAUGCAUAAACCUACAGAUGCAAGAACAGUUUACCUUAGGUUAGGACCCCCCCACCAAAAAAAAAAAAAAAAACCUCAUCAAAGAUGCAUCAUCAGGAAACUAAAGACCAAGAAAAACUGUUGAAAGCAGCCAGAGAGAGAUCACAAAGUACCAAUACAGGAACACCAGUUCGAAUGCUGGUGCAUUUCUCAUCUGAAACCCGAGGCCAGAAGGAAGCAGCAUGACACGGUCCAGAUGCUGGAAGAAGAGAGCUGUCGGUCACAAAUUCUAUAUCCUCCGUGAAGCUAUCUUUGAGGAGUGAAGGGGAACUAGAGACGUUCUCAAAAGAAGAAAAACUAAAACACUUGGUCACUUCCGGACCUACUCCUCAAGAACAGCUAAAGAAGUCCUCCGGACCUUAGGGCAACGAUGAAGGAGCGUCAGCAAGGAAGACGACGGGAGGAACAGGUACAACAGGCCUGCCUUUUCCUUGUGAUUUUCCUAAAUCAUCUUUGAUGAUCGAAACAGAAAUGGUAACACCAUUUGAUACUCAGGACCAUGAUAUGUAAGAGCGGGGAAAUCAAAGUUGCCAAAUGCAAUCAGGCUUUGGAUGCUUAGCUUGAAAUGGGAAAAUGGGCGGCCGCGUAGUAAAACGCUCCCUGAAUGCUUAUGCGAAGAAACUGACUGAGCUGCAACAUAGCAGGCUAAUGCCAAAUGUGGGGAAAGCACGUUGAAAUCUGCAUUAUUAGCACUGUAUCACUAGGACCCAACGCUUGACUGAACAGGAUUUAAAAUGUAUGAGCACUUACAUGUGCGGACCGAAAAAUUCUUCUUGCUUAUUUCUCCCUUGAUUUAGCAGUAGUCAGACCUGCAAAUGCACAAGAUCUUAAGUGAUUACAAAGGAGGUGCCUUGCAUAAUGACCACUACCUCUGUUUGCAGCUGUGAUUUUAAAAACCGUUGCCUAAUAAGCCAGCAUGGAAAGUGGCUCGUAAUCUCCUCUUUUGCAGGAGCAGGAGCAGUGACCUUCUCGGUGGCUCUGAGGAGUAUGAGCUACCGUCAGAAAGCACACUGGGUUCUGCUAAGCUGGCGGUCAAGCAGCAGAGACGUCGUGACACAUGGGGGACUGGAAGCCUGGACAGGGGACGCUAACAGAAAACGGACAGCAGAGAAGCAGCCCUGAAGCCCAGAGCCCACUCACCGUGGUCUGGUGACGAGGGUCCGCUCCCCGCCACGUGGCCUCCCUGCCCGCCCCCUCAGAUUACAGACUGGCAUGUCCGGACUCUUCCCCCGAGAGGCGGCCUGGAGGGGACCCUGGUGAGGCUGGGGUGGUCUCAGCCCCUGUGUUUCUGGGCCCCGCGCACGCCUCUCGCUUGCCCCCACUCCUUCUGCGACUUCCGUGAGGCCUGGGCUUCCCCGUACCCACGACUUGGCAGCUUGGGCCCUACAGUGUGAGCUGUUUCCCGCCGGUAGGACCCACGUGCCCCUGACCAGCCUUGGCCCUCGCCUGCCUCUGUCUCAGGUCCUGCCUCUGGCCCCGCCUCUCCCCUGGGGAUCCCGGCUCUGCCGAGUCUGGGACAGUCACUGCCACCUGUCACCUGGCAUUGUGCUGUGGAAGAGAGAAGCGUGACCACAGGAAGCACGCUCAGUCGUUCCCACCAGAAGGUUCUACUGCAGUCAGGGGUCCCCUUCCACCUCCUGAGUGGGGGACGGGCCUUGCCCUCCGCCCUCCGGCUCAGGCAGCCGCGCUAACGAGACAACAACGGUACCGCGGGUGCCCUCACGCAGAUUCCUGUAGGUCUUCCGCUGAAACCGAGGCUCUGAACCCCAACUACGAAACAUCUCCUGAGUUAAUGAGACUGACACCCCUCCCCCCGCCCCCGUGCCAUCCCGGAAAAUCCUGGAGAGGAGGAAACAUCCCUGGGGCUCCGGGAGCCUGGGCCCCUGCUGCCCUCCCUGCACCAGCCAGGUGAAGUCCGCCAGCUGUGACAAGAGCCCUGGCACCCGCCCGCACCUGUGUGUUCAGCCAGACAGCGCAUCGUCAUACCAUAUGUGGCUCUUUGUACCUAUUUGCACGUGGACGUAAUACCACAAAUAAAACACUAAACGGGAGGAAUCAGGGAAAAACACAGAACCCAGAAUAUUGGGGGCCACUUACGCUCCUCCGGGAAAGCAGCGGGGACACUGUGGACGUGUUAAUAUUCCUACCGCAGUGAGCCCACGUGUCAAAUGUCAAGUCUGUGUGUAAUUGUGAGAGAGAGAUAUAAAUAGAGGAAUUAUUAUAAUUCCGUCAUAAUUUGCUACUUGACCAAAAUAAACUAAUAAGAUAAAUAAACAUGGCUGCUUUUGCCCAACUGACUAAUAUGACCUGAAUAGAAAUAAAAUAUUGGAUGAGUUGGAGAUGCCAAGUUUAAGCUAGAUUAGCAGCAAAAUCUCAGUGUGCCGUUUCGAUAUAAUUAACGGGAUGAUUUAAUGUGUUUUUCGCUCAGAAUCGUCGUGAGGCGUUUUUCUGCAAUAGCGUAGAAAUGAAUCCGCACGCGUCCGGGCUGCAGAGGAAUAAAAGGUUGUAAUAUUUUUGAGUCCUCUUGGCAGAGUAAUCCAUCUGGCACUGUGCAGGACAACGGAGAUGUUUUUCUUCCGAUCAUUCACAGCCAUUAUUUAAUGCGGGGUAACAGCCACAGUCUUCAUUAAUAUAUUAACCUAUGGCUCAAAAAGGCCUUGCAGUAAACCAACCGAGGACUCCUCAUGACGGGUUCAUAUCAUAGGGCUUGGAGAGACUGAGCCGCGGAGACGCUGACCUCAGGGAUAAGCCCAGCGUUUGUUACCGACGGCAGAAGUGUGGCCAGCGAGUGAGGAGGGAGGUGGUCAGAACCCUCACGGAAGCCACUACACGCGGGACAGAGGGCCAGUUACAAACAUACACGAUACGGGGCGCCUGGGUGGCUCAGUCGGUUAAGCCUCCGACUCGGGCUCAGGUCAUGAUCUCGCGGUUCGUGGGUUCGAGCCCCGCGUCGGGCUCUCUGCUGUCAACACAGAGCCCACCCUCUGUCUCCCCUCUCUGUCCCUUCCCCGCCUGCACUCGCUUGCCUUCUCUCUCUCAGAAGUAAAGAAACAUUUUGAAAAACACAUAUAUGAUACAACCUUAGAAUGCAAUACUUGGCGACCUCAGAAAGAAUGUGGUAGAACCACCGUAUCUCACUGGCCUCAACUUCUGCUCAUUCCAUGCAGCCCCUCCAGCCUCCUGGCCUCUCUCCCACACGCAGGCCUUUCCCAGACCGAAGUUCCUGAGGCAGCACUUCCUUCAGGGAGAUCUGGAAGAGAGAGAAGGGUCGAGACCAAACACCUUCUCGGGAGGCCUCCUCUGGCCGCAAGGUAAAAGUCACAGCCCCGGCGGGGGGGGGGGGGGGGGGGGGGGUUGCUGCCCCUUCAACGCUUUGAUUUUUGCCCCAGGGCUUGUCACUGACAUACAAUGUACUUUAUUUAUCUUGAUUUUCAUCUCUUCCCUAAAAGGUGAAUUCCAUAAGGGAGGGAGGAUGAGUCAGAGCCCAAGCAGGAAACAAAAGGGAAACUUGAACUGGGUUCUUUGAGGAGAGUUUAGUAAAAGGGCCAUUUCCCAAGACUGGCAAGGAGGUAGGGAAGCCUGGGGUGAGGCAGCACCUGAGGGCAGUGACCCAGCCCGGGGGACAGGGAUGUGAGAGAGGACAACAGCCACUGACCCUCCGCUUAGGGCGGCUCGGUCAAGCACCCCCCCCACCCCGCGGUUGCCCCACAUCACCCACCCCAAGCGGAGCCUGGAGCUGGGGCCCCGGGCACAGUGCUAAGGUGGGGGGGGGGGGGGAAUCUGCACGGUGACCCACAGGGAAGUCAGGCCUGUCCCCCGUUGGACCUCCAUCCCUACUGGCGCACAGGAGGUGUGAGUGUCCUGGGGCUGCCAGGACAAAGUACUGCAUGGGGGAGGGGGGGCUUAGAACUGUAGAAACACAUUCUCUCACAGUUCUGGCGGCCAGACGUCUGAAAUAAAAAUUUCAGUAGGGCUGCGCUCCCUCGGAAGACUCUAGAAAAGGAACUCCCACAUGUCUCCAGUAGCUCCAGGAGGAUACGGAUGCCCCUUGGCGUCCCUUCACUUGUAAACUCCGUCUUCAUGGGGCCGUCUUCCCGUGUGUCUGCGUCUGUCUGACCUCACAAGGACACCAGUCAUAUUGGAUCAAGGCCCAUCCCCACUGAGGACGACCUCAUCUUAACUUGAUGACAUGGGGAGACCCUAUUUCCAAUCACAGAUGCUCGGUUUAAGACUUCAACACAGCCUUUCGGGGGACACAGUUCAACCUGGAAUACUGAGUAGUCAAUAAUGAAUCAACGAAUGAAUUGUCUCUCCUGAGAAUAAAAAAGAAAAGAGUAGUAAAGUUUGGGGGUAAUUCAAACCAGGUCAUUAAAGGCCCUCCUUCCAUUAUAUAUAUAUAUAUAUAUUUUUUUUUUUCCUUGACAUUAUGUCAGAUUAUGGGCAGCAGUAAAUCUCCAAGAAAAACAAAGGCCAGGAUUUAGUGCCGGAAAGGAAUCCUGAAAAAAAAUUUUUUUUUCAUAAAUAAAUAACACAAGGAACUAGAAGCGGAAAGGGUGGUAUACAGUUGAGGCAUAGGACCGGGGAGAGGUCCAGAGCUCAGAAACGCUGCCUUCGGAUGGGAGUCUGAUGGCGUCACCCCCACACCCCAUCAUGCACAGCGCGGGGACCUGGCUCCUAGUGAGGGCUCUUCUCUAGAGAAAUGAAAUGUUUCCAAAGCAACCAGCAAACCCUUCUGCCACCAAUGGAUCCCCCGCCCGCCCACCCCGAAGCGAAGCCUGACAAGGAUGAGCCCCAACAGAGCUACAAAGCCCUCUCUCAACACGCUGUCUGUCGCCUUUUUCCUAGCUUGAGGGUCAACAGAGAAGGAUUGGACAUUUCCAGGAAACCAGAAAUAUGAAUGAGAAAGAGAACGAGAAACAGGAAAAAGGGAAGGAAAAAGCCAUAUGUACCUAUGGUCCCAGUUCAAUUAAAAAUACACACAGUGUGGGGCGCCUGGGUGGCUCAGUCGAUUGAGCGACCGACUCUUAAUUUCGGCUCAGGUCAUGGUCCCAGGGUCAUGGGAUCAGGCCCUGUGUUGGGUUCCGUGCCGAGCGUGGAGUCUGCUUGGGAUUCUCUCUUUCUCGUCCUCUUCCCCUCACCUUUCUCUCUCUCUCUCUCUCUCUCUUUCUCUAAUAAAUAAAUAAAAAUAAAAAAUGAAAAAAGUACAGUGUGUUUGUAGACACAUCAACACACAUGUGUUAUGUUUGCACAUAUAUAUGUGUUUUUUGGGUUUUUUUUUUUCAACGUUUAUUUAUUUUUGGGACAGAGAGAGACAGAGCAUGAACGGGGGAGGGGCAGAGAGAGAGGGAGACACAGAAUCGGAAACAGGCUCCAGGCUCUGAGCCAUCAGCCCAGAGCCUGACGCGGGGCUCGAACUCACGGACGUGAGAUCGUGACCUGGCUGAAGUCGGACGCUUAACCCACUGCGCCACCCAGGCGCCCGGGUUUUUUUUUUUUUUUUUAAUAUUUAUUUCCCUUUGAGAGAGAGAUGGACAGAGCGUGAGCAGGGGAGGGGCAGAAAGAGAGGGAGACACAGAAUCCGAAGCAGGCUCCGGGCUCCGAGCUGUCAGCAUAGAGCCGGACACGGGACCCGAACCAACCCACCGUGAGAUCGUGACCUAAGCCCAGCGCUCAACCGACUGAGCCACCCAAGUGCCCUGAGAUUCGUGUGUUUUAGAUGCCAGCAAACCAAGUAUCGGUAUUCAGACAGCAAGACCAAGGUUGGGCUGUAAAUGUUAAAAGCCCUGAUUUAUGUCACUGUCCUCGUGAAGCACAGCCUACUUCCCGUGGAGUAGGAUUGUAGAGCUACCAAACUGUUUUUCAAAAAAGCGACUGGAGGUUCCUUUGAAUAUCCAACAAGUACCAGGAACGGUGCCAUCAUUCCAUCCCAUUAAGUGGAGUGCCAGGUGACGGUCACCGAGCAACAGAAUGGAGCCCAGCAUUCAGCCUUGUAUUUCCUACCGCAUUUAAGGCUUUGUUAAAGAAUAUUUUAAGGACAUCUCUUCUGUCACAAAAGAACUCAGUAAGUCUUCCGGAAAGGUGUACCAGUGGGUCCACCAAAUGACCAAAUGAGCUAGUCUGUUCGGUAAACUUGUUUAAACAGUAUUAUCGGGGCGCCUGGGUGGCGCAGUCGGUUGAGCGUCCGACUUCGGCUCAGGUCACGAUCUCGCGGUCCGUGAGUUCGAGCCCCGCAUCGGGCUCUGUGCGGACAGCUCAGAGCCUGGAGCCUGCUUCCGAUUCUGUGUCUCCCUCUCUCUCUGCCCCUCCCCCGUUCAUGCUCUGUCUCUCUCUGUCUCAAAAAUAAAAAUAAACGUUAAAAAAUAAAUAAAUAAAUAAAUAAAUAAAUAAAUAAAUAAAUAAACAGUAUUAUCAAAUCAGAUGCCAGAGUUAGUUCGAUAAGAACGACUGUUUUGAUGUUGGCUGGAUAUUUUGCUGUUUCUCUUAACAAUAGCCAACCAAUGGAUUCAGUUGUCUCCUGAGGCUUGCUGGGGACACAGCGGUAGCUCUACGUUAUCAACCCAGAAGAGCGUCUCCUGUUUAUUUAAUUUCAGAGGCCACGUGGCCACAUAGGCUAGGAAGGAUUCUAAAAUCUUUACAUGUGGGGGCUGUGUAAAACAGAGCCAUCGCCACAUAAUUAAACACGGACUUUUAUGUCAGAAGGCCGAUCCAGCCCACUCCAAUUUUCUCAGUGACGUUAUGAUAAAGGCAAAAGGUGCAUUAAAAGCUUUGGAUCUAUACUAAGGUCAUAAAAUCUCGCCCAGAGACAGUUCCUGUCUAGGGAUUCACACGCCAGAAACAGAUCAAUAGAGGCUGUAAAAAGUUCUACAAUAUUCCCAACCAGCUGCUCUAUAAAGUACAAGUGAACGCUCACUCGUUGAAGACGAAAGCAUUCCCGUAAUGCCAGUAUUAAAUAUACAAUUUACUCGAAUAAAAGAAUUUGUUUUCUGUUUAUUUUCUUGGGAAAAUCGGUUGACCGGUGAGAUAUGAGACUUGCUUUAUUUUCUAGGAUAAAAUUCUGACGGAACUACUAGUCUGCACCAACCACAGAUAGGCCGUCUUCUUUCUCCUCCCCCGGUAGACGCUGGAGAUGUUUCCUCUCGAGUUGUUGGGGUUCGACUUGACAAAAUUCUAGAGGCGGUACAGAGUCUGUGAUCAGAAAAAUGUCUUUAUCACGGCGAAAAUCUGCUCGUGCCGAUGGACCGGAGAGAAGGCAGAAGAAGCAGUUGUGUCUCGGGGUAGCUGUUCUCCCUUGAAAUCCGGUAAAAAUGGCCCCGUGAAUGCAGGGCCUAAAAGUGAGUCCCCAAAGUGAGGGGCCUCUGGGACCCACACGCCAUCCCCCAAACAAGAAGAAUCAUUUUCCUGGCAACGGAAAGAUUAAUCAUGCAUUUCACAAAGGAGACGCAAGGUUCGGUAAUGUGCGACCUUGAUUUACAAUGGCCUCCUGAUUUAUUGUUGUGUAUUUUUAAACCAUGCUAUUUAAAACACAGCUAAUUUAAAAGCUAGUGUGUAGGCCCCGUCUGACUAUUGCUAAAGAUUUACUUUGUGCUAAUAAGAAAAUUAUUGUGUCUACGCUAUUCCCACUUCUCCCGCACUGUGUGAUCCAACCUCCAAUAAAAUUGCUUGUCAGGUGAGAGA
rnacentral:lncRNA from 1 species